rnacentral:misc_RNA from 1 species
GGGAGUCAAAACAACAUUGGAGUUUCCGGUAUGAUAGGGGGUACUAAGACCCAUUUCAGCUAUGAAGAGGUGAUGGAAAUGACAAACGGUUUUUCUCGUCAAAAUAUUGUGGGUGAGGGUGGGUUUGGAUGUGUUUACAAGGGGCAAGUACAGGACGGUAGAGCAGUGGCUGUCAAGCAGCUUAAGAUAGGUAGUGGACAGGGCGACCGAGAAUUUAAGGCUGAAGUUGAGAUAAUUAGUCGGGUUCAUCAUCGGCAUUUGGUCUCAUUAGUGGGCUAUUGCAUCUGUGAUCAUCAACGUUUGCUUCUCUAUGAAUAUGUUCCAAACAAAACUCUCGAGCAUCAUUUGCAUGCAAAAGGAAUGCCUGUGUUGGAUUGGCCUAAAAGACUCAAAAUCGCUAUAGGUGCUGCAAAGGGCUUGGCGUAUUUACACGAAGAUUGUAAUCCGA